AACGAACGCUGGCGGCAGGCCUAACACAUGCAAGUCGAGCGCACUCUUCGGAGUGAGCGGCGGACGGGUUAGUAACGCGUGGGAAUAUACCCGGUACUAAGGAAUAGCCUCUGGAAACGGAGAGUAAUACCUUAUACGCCCUUCGGGGGAAAGAUUUAUCGGUAUCGGAUUAGCCCGCGUUAGAUUAGAUAGUUGGUGGGGUAACGGCCUACCAAGUCGACGAUCUAUAGCUGGUUUGAGAGGAUGAUCAGCAACACUGGGACUGAGACACGGCCCAGACUCCUACGGGAGGCAGCAGUGGGGAAUCUUGGACAAUGGGCGCAAGCCUGAUCCAGCCAUGCCGCGUGAGCGAUGAAGGCCUUAGGGUCGUAAAACUCUUUCGCCAGAGAUGAUAAUGACAGUAUCUGGUAAAGAAACCCCGGCUAACUCCG
rnacentral:rRNA from 1 species